UGGGGAAUUUUGGACAAUGGGCGCAAGCCUGAUCCAGCAAUGCCGCGUGCAGGAUGAAGGCCUUCGGGUUGUAAACUGCUUUUGUACGGAACGAAACGGCUUUCUCUAAUACAGAGGGCUAAUGACGGUACCGUAAGAAUAAGCACCGGCUAACUACGUGCCAGCAGCCGCGGUAAUACGUAGGGUGCGAGCGUUAAUCGGAAUUACUGGGCGUAAAGCGUGCGCAGGCGGUCUUGUAAGACAGGUGUGAAAUCCCCGGGCUUAACCUGGGAAUUGCAUUUGUGACUGCAAGGCUGGAGUACGGCAGAGGGGGGUGGAAUUCCGCGUGUAGCAGUGAAAUGCGUAGAUAUGCGGAGGAACACCGAUGGCGAAGGCAGCCCCCUGGGCCUGUACUGACGCUCAUGCACGAAAGCGUGGGGAGCAAACA
rnacentral:rRNA from 1 species